rnacentral:rRNA from 1 species
UACGUAGGAGGCGAGCGUUGUCCGGAUUUACUGGGCGUAAAGGGUGCGUAGGCGGCUGCGCGCGUGGAGGGUGAAAUCUCUCGGCUUACCCGGGAGGGGGCUUUCCAGACGGCGUGGCUUGAGGGACGGAGAGGGGCGUGGAAUUCCGGGUGGAGCGGUGAAAUGCGUAGAGAUCCGGAGGAACACCGGUGGCGAAGGCGGCGACCUGGGUAGAUACUGACGCUGAGGUGCGAAAGCGUGGGGAGCAAACAGG